CCCUCGGAGUGGCCAGAAACUGAACCAGAGGACCAGACGCUGCUAGCUAAAGCCAAAAUACCCAAAUCUCCUCCAUUAUUGAUGGCUGAAACCACAACCUCGCCUGUGAAUCCGGCGACGAUUCGACAACUUUCCAUACAUAUCCCAGAAAAUCAACAAAGAACGAAGCGAUCGCAUCAGUGUCGAAUGCUUGUGGCCAAAACGAUUGAUUGAAUGAAGCCAAAAUAGAACGAAGGAACUCCAAGACCACUGCAAGGACGACAUUGAGCUGAGGGCGCAAAACCCUAGGAGAUCCAGCGACGAGAGCCUCGGACACUCAGACACUCACCUCACUGGCUCACUCAUUCUUCAGCCGAUACUCAGAAGAAAUUGCGAUGAUUUGGGCAAAGGUUAGAUUUUCUUAAUGUGGAUUUCCAAUUUGUUCUUGCAUAUUAUGGAAGAUUUUGUUAUGUGGAUCAAAUAUAGCUUUAGUAAAUUAGAGAAACUCUUGCUUGUCAAUUUUUUUUCCUAGAAAUCUGCAUACAGAAUUUGAAAGUAUUGUGGUAUGUAGGUUGGUACAUGUAGGAAAACUUGAUGAAGAGGCUUGUGUUUGAGUGAUAGCACUGGCUUUCUGCAGAAGUUGAGAAACACUAAAAGUAACUUUCACUCUAUGAUUUGGGAUUAACGUUUAGCUUUUGUGUAUAUUUGAUAAAUGUGGAAUCAGGGUGGAUUGAUCUUUCUUUUAUGAGUGAAUGUUGUCCUUGGUAUUUUUUUUUUAAAAUCCUUUUAGUCAAGUGGGGACAUCCGCUUAAAUGAAAUUUGAACGAGCUCUUUUGCAUAAUGGUUAUUUUGAUGUUUGUUAAAAUGAACACGUGAAAUUAAUAAGUUUGUACAGUUCCCAGGUAUCAGUUUUUAUAUACUAAUUAUUUUGUUUGUAGAGAUGCUUUUGUUGAUUAUUGGAUCAAUGGAAAUAUGUUGACUAUGGAUAUGGCUACUCAAAUAUAUGUUAUUCUAAAGCAACCAGAUCUUAAGUACCUUACUCAGGAUGACUUUAAGCCUCUGCUACGUGAACUGUUGGCAACUCAUCCAGGGUUAGAGUUUCUACAAAGCACACCUGAGUUUCAGGAAAGAUAUGGAAGUUUGUGGUAGUUUGCAAUGACGUCGAACUUGAAGUUGGGAAUUGCAUUCGUAUCUACUCCUCAUGGUACAGUAGUAAAAUUCAACAUCUUUGUUGUCUAUUAGUUUAUUUUCUGAGAAGUUUGAAUCUUUCUAUUGACCUGAUAUGUCUUGCUCCAUGGCUGAUAGUGUUCUUAAUGUAUGCAUUUAAAGUAGUUAUGGUUUGAUUAUUUACUUAGUUGUAUUUUAUUAAUUCCAAUAAAAAUGGGUCAUAUCAAUUUUGAUGUUGA